rnacentral:lncRNA from 1 species
GUGAUAUCUUAUUAUUUUAUCGGUAAUUUGUAAAUUUUUCCUUUGAUGUGUACUCGCUGAUAAUGUCAGUAUCAGUGGACUGGCCGUGAUAUAAAAAUUAUUGGGUUAGUACGCAAAUGACAUGCGCGAAUGCAACGCGUAAGGAUCUACUUUCCCCCUUCAUUCACAAAAUUGCGCGUGAUUUUUAUCGCAGAAACGCACGAGAUUUUUGGCGAAUGAACCACUUGACAUUGAUUAUAACUUUCACAAAGUUAGUUUAGCCUUUUUUGUUGUGAAAAUGUGAACAGA